UUACGGCUAUAUCACGCUGAAAUAUCAGUUUUCGUCCGAUCACCGAAGUUAAGCAACAUCGAUCCUGGUCAGUACCUAGAUGGGUGACCGCUUGGGAAUACUAGGUGCUGUAAG